CGGGGCUACUGCUCUGUAAUUGGCAUGGGGGCGACCUUCACCCUCGCCCGAGUACCUAUUGGAGGGCAAGUCUGGUGCCAGCAGCCGCGGUAAUUCCAGCUCCAAUAGCGUAUAUUAAACUUGUUGCAGUUAAAAAGCUCGUAGUUGAAUCUCACGUCCCCCGCUUGGUCCUUUCCUCGCCGGGACGCCUCGUUACUUUGAGAAAAUUAGAGUGUUUCAAGCAGGUUUCGCCUGUAUAAUUGAGCAUGGAAUAACCUUGUAUGACCCUGUCGUACCGUUGGUUGGCUUUGGGUAAUGGUUAAUAGGAACGGUUGGGGGCAUUCGUACUCGACUGUCAGAGGUGAAAUUCUUAGAUUUGUCGAUGACGCACGACUGCGAAAGCAUUUGCCAAGGACGCUUCCAUUAAUCAAGAAC
rnacentral:rRNA from 1 species